rnacentral:rRNA from 1 species
AGCAGCCGCGGUAAUUCCAGCUCCAAUAGCGUAUAUUAAAGUUGUUGCAGUUAAAAAGCUCGUAGUUGAAUUUCGGGACUAAUAUGUCGGUCGUACUUUGUACGUACUAGCAUUAUUGGUUUCUCCCUUCUGACGAACCACGAUGUCAUUAAUUUGGUGUCGUGGGAAAUCAGGACUGUUACUUUGAAAAAAUUAGAGUGUUUAAAGCAAGCUCGCGCUUGAAUACAUUAGCAUGGAAUAAUGAAAUAGGACGUUUGAUUCUAUUUUGUUGGUUUCUAGGAUCGACGUAAUGAUUAAUAGGGAUAGUUGGGGGCAUUAGUAUUCAAUUGUCAGAGGUGAAAUUCUUGGAUUUAUUGAAGACUAACUACUGCGAAAGCAUUUGCCAAGGAUGUUUUCAUUAAUCAAGAACGAAAGUUAGGGGAUCGAAGACGAUCAGAUACCGUCGUAGUCUUAACCAUAAACUAUGCCGACUAGGGAUCGGAUGAUGUUAAUUUUUAAUGACUCAUUCGGCGCCUUACGG